AGUUUCUAAAAAAUACUAGAGUUAUAACCUUAUAAAGCUGUCAUACGCACCUAUAAAAGGAAUAAUACACUGACGAAAGUAACUCUAAUUAGAUAGAGCUUUUGACCUCACGACAGUUAAGACACAAACUAGGAUUAGAUACCCUACUAUGCUUAACCAUAAAUAGACCUUUAUCAUCACUUACUUUGUUUAAGUCCGCCUGAGUACUACAAGCGCUAGCUUAAAACCCAAAGGACUUGGCGGUGCCCCAGACCCCCCUAGAGGAGCCUGUUCUAUAACCGAUAAUCCACGUUAAACCUUACCACUUCUUGCUCUUACCGCCUAUAUACCGCCGUCGUCAGCUCACCCCAUGAGGGUAUAAAAGUAAGCACAAUGGAUUUCCUCCAAAACGUCAGGUCGAGGUGUAGCGAAUGAAGUGGAAAGAAAUGGGCUACAUUUUCUCUCAAGAAAACACGGACAGUAGAAUGAAAAAUCACUUAUAAGGUGGAUUUAGCAGUAAGAAAAACUUAGGAUAUUUUUCUGAAACCGGCUCUGAGGCGCGCACACACCGCCCGUCACUCUCCUCAACCUAAGCUACUCUAUUUUAUAAAUAAAUUUUUAUCACAAGAGGAGGCAAGUCGUAA
rnacentral:rRNA from 1 species